rnacentral:rRNA from 1 species
GAUGAACGCUGGCGGCGUGCCUAAUACAUGCAAGUCGAGCGAACAGAUGAGGAGCUUGCUCCUCUGACGUUAGCGGCGGACGGGUGAGUAACACGUGGAUAACCUACCUAUAAGACUGGGAUAACUUCGGGAAACCGGAGCUAAUACCGGAUAAUAUAUUGAACCGCAUGGUUCAAUAGUGAAAGACGGCUUUGCUGUCACUUAUAGAUGGAUCCGCGCCGCAUUAGCUAGUUGGUAAGGUAACGGCUUACCAAGGCAACGAUGCGUAGCCGACCUGAGAGGGUGAUCGGCCACACUGGAACUGAGACACGGUCCAGACUCCUACGGGAGGCAGCAGUAGGGAAUCUUCCGCAAUGGGCGAAAGCCUGACGGAGCAACGCCGCGUGAGUGAUGAAGGUCUUCGGAUCGUAAAACUCUGUUAUUAGGGAAGAACAAAUGUGUAAGUAACUAUGCACGUCUUGACGGUACCUAAUCAGAAAGCCACAGCUAACUACGUG